UGACUUAUUGUUUGCCUUUAGUGUCCCUUUAAUCAACUCAGCAACAGGAGGGAAGAAGCUGGUAGAAACAUUUAUGGGAAGAGAGCAGCAAACAGAAUGACGUUCAGAUUGAUUGCUUAUUUAGAUUGUCUAUUCAGUCAACAUUAAUACUGACAGUUGCCUUGACUAGGAAGCUUAUAGAAAAGGAUCAUAAAGGUAGAAUGGAGUUCAUACUGGUCAGAGCGCAUGAAAACUUGGAUGUGGGAAGAAAUUGAUGGGGCAAGCACUUGACCUGUCAAUUUCUUCCCUGGUUCAUGUUUCUGCACACUCUAAUGAAAAGGCACAAAUGCCUGAUAUUGUGUUAGCCCCUUUCUCAUCUCAUUAUAAUUCACACAUUGCUCAGACAGUAUAGGCAGCCUGAUAACAGUAAAUCAGUUCAGACAUGACUUUGACUGCAGUCAUUGUACAAAAGCAAAGGCAGGAAAUGUAUACAAAGCAUUCUGUUCAGAACUGAAAAAAAAAAGUCAUUUAUAUAAUAUACAAGCAGAUUGAUCAAUCAAAGUUUAUGGCAUUAGACUGCCUAACCUUAAUGGUAUAAAGCCAAGAGUCACUAUGUGUAUCAGCCAGCAGGAAAUGGACACUCAUUUCUUGAUGAAUAAAGAAUGUGUGCCUUUCUUUGAACCUUUAAAAAAGCCAAUGAUCCUUGGUUGACAGGGAUCUAAAAAUUAAAUUAUGGAGUUUUACGUGCCAAAACCACAAUCUCAUUAUGGGGCCCACCGUAGAGGGGGACUCCGGAAAUUUGGACCACCUGGGGUUCUUUAAUGUGCACCUAAAUCUAAGCACGGGAGUGUUUUGGCAUUUCGCCCCCAUCGAAAUGCUGCCGUCAUGGCCGGGAUUGAUCCCGUGACCUUGUGCUUAGCAGCCCAACACCAUAGCCACUAAGCAACCAUGGUGGGUUUGACAGGGAUGACGUCAGACAUACAAUUCAGAAAGUCUUGGAUUAUGUAGGAUUGUUCUUGUGGGCUGCAGCUUUUUUGUAUCACACUCUUAUUGUAAGUUGUGUGUUUCAUGUUUCACCUGUUUUCCUUGAGAAGCCUUUAUAAAAAGGUGUAUAUUGUAAUCUGAUUUUGAGGGUAUACAGUAGAACCAGGCCCAGCACACACUCAAGUUCCAGCAAUCGCCACAGAGGGUGAAAAAUCAUUCACGGCACAUUCCAGCAUGAAGCGCGUAAGUGUAGCUACUGUAAUUUGGUCGGACAUCUUAAUUCACAUUUUUUCUGUUAGGGGCGCUCAAUGUGGCUAAAUAUUUUAUCCAUAAAUGUACAUAUAAUAAGCAACAUACAUAGUUACCAUGUCAUUUUUUUUUUUUACAGAAUAAGUAGGCCAUGGUUUUUAUUAGACUUCUGUUAUUAAAGUAUCUGCUUUAUUACUUGAAUAAAGGUUUUGGGACUUCACUUACAUGCAACAAGCAGCAGCCCAUUGGUGUUGAUUGCAUUCUGGGCCGUUUAUCAAAUAAACUUGUACAGUGGUAAUAUUUGCGAACGGGGUGGUCGUUUCCUUUGAACAGCAUCACACAGGUUCGUUUUAAUUAGAUGACAAUAAUAUCUCUGCCAGUUUAUGCUUCCAACAUUCGAUAGCCGCCACCAAGUGAAUGUGUUUAAAGACGGUGAAUUUUAUCAGCUGCGGCGUUUCACUGGUGUAACGGCUGCACGGCUUCCAUCGUUAGUGAUCAGCUCCCCUGGCCAUGUAAUGACAUGUUUCUGGCAAGAAAUGUGCUGGCUAGCACGAAAAUUCAUCGCUGGAACCGAGCAGUCUUCUUGGAGACUACCCACGAAAGCGGAUUAACCUUGCAGCCUCUGCGCAUGUGCACCGCCUCCAAGACGCUGCUCAUGUUUGUUCACCUCUAUGGACUCUAUUGUGUCUGGACAUACAAGUCAACAGUGAAUGUAUCACCACUGGAAGUAACAUCAAGGGCCAGAAUCCUCACAAGGAAGAUGGACAAAAGAGAGGUUAUUGGUUUGCAAGCUGCCCAUGUCAAGCCAUAAGAAGCUAAACAGUCACCAUAAUGAUAACAGGUUGUCUUGAACUAUGUGCCUGACCAUGAAAUGUUCGCAAGGUUACGAGAUAGAGGGGUGUGAACCCUAUCAGGAAAGCUACAGUCAACAGUUUUGUACUGUACAGAGCGAGAAUGCUAAAAUUUGACAUACAAGCUUACUUGCUUUUAAGGUGGUUUUAUGACAAACAGAGAAGUUAACAUGUUUCUUUUUUAGUCAUUAUAGCCAUGAUGACCAGAACAGAAGCAAUGUAGCAAGCUCCUACUUGCUAAUGCACAAACUAUGUCAUCUGCUCUUUGCAAAUCAGCUUAGUGGGCAUAACCACCAAGUAUCACAUGCUGCCUCACAAUGUUAAUUUGCUGCAUGAAAGUGCAAAUAAUUUUAGAAUGAUCAAAACCGCUCAAUGCAAUUUUGAGGAAAUGAUACUUCAUGCUGACUGAAUCUCUGGCAGUCACUCUUACAUGGUUCAUGUACAGUUUGCACGUAAUCAAUAACAAGGCUAGCCCUGUACUGUAAGAUAAGAAAUAGCUAGAAAAGGCAAGCUCACAUAACCGGCCUACUCCACAUUUCACAAACAUGACAAAUCACUAAAAAGAAUUUUUCUUUCUCUUCAAACAGCAGAUGACAAAUCUGAGAACAGUGUGUUACCAAAAUGUUUUUUGAAGUAUACUUGGAGAAUAGCAAGUUUGGGUUAACAUUCAGCCAAUCAACAGUGAACGAGCAAGGGAAGCCUCAGCUUGGGAACUUGUUUUCAUCAUCGCUCUCACAGAUAUGUUUGCUUGUUGAAACGUUGGCUCCAGGCUGAGGCUUCCCUUGCUCACCUCUGUUACUCACUCGAAAUGUUCAUCUCCUUGCAACCUUGUUUGAAUACAUAAAGCAAACUUUUUUUUCACCAUGAAACCGUAAAUCAAAUUUUCAAAGAAUCUGUGAGCAUUAAUUGGGCUUGCUUAAAUGUUUAUUUAGUGUCCUUGUUUAUUCACACAAUUUUUGCAGAAUUUCUUGUAAGCACUGUUGUCUCCCUAAUGUUCCUUGCUUUCCUAUGAGUACUUGACUUGUGUCAGAGCCUUUAAUGCCGCAUGUGAACGCUAAAUGUGCCCCAGAAAUAUCAAUAGCAGACAAUAUGUGCUGUAAAAUUUAGCAUAACAUCUAUGUUUAUUUUUUUUUUAUUUUUUUCUUAUGCUACAUGCUUCUCGCCGAUGAAAAGAAUGGGACAUUGCAGCUCGAGCUUAUCAUUCUGACACUACAUCCUUGCCUAGAAGUUUUUCUUUCUUUUUUUAAUCUAGCUGGAAUUUUUUAACGCAGACAAUAUAUGUAUAUGAAACAUUGCAAGCAGCGCUGUAUGCAACUACAGUAUGGGGGUAGCCUAGCAUAAAUAUUGUUAUAUAAAGCUUUGUUCUCCCCGCUUUAGUGGCAUGCCGAACAUGAUGAAAUUUCGCUAGUUUUCAGCUUUCAAUUCCGUUAAAUAGAUGAAUAUCUGUGUUUCUGUAUGUUGUAAACUCGGUGACUGACUGCAUUAAGUCUACCUGACCUGUACGAAAAUUUUGGGCAUGUACUGCUUCAUUCACCAUUGACAAUAAACAAUGUAAGCUUACUUGGUUGAAGUGUUUCUCUUGCUUUGCCAGUUGAGGCCACUUGGUCACCUGGCGACAUAAUAAAGAUAUCGGUAAUCAUGUUAGAGUAUCGUACACAUAAAUACCGCCCCGACAGCGGUAAGAAAAUGCUCAAGACCAGCAAGCGAGCAGUGCACCCAGCCCCAUGAGCCGCUACCACAGUUGCUAUAAUGCUCACUACGUAAUGAUGAUGAUAUUAGUUUUGAUUUUGCCAGUGCCAUUUUUCGGUCAUAUACUCUAGUUUGUAAUGCCACCACUACUCUUACUUCCAUUGUACUGGGGAAGGUACAGUUUCCCUUCUCUAAGUAUUAUAGGUGUUGUGUGGUAGAACCUGGCUCAUAAGAUCCCAUUUCAAGAGCACGAAAACUGACCCAGUAGGCACUGGGCAGUUGUUGUAAGGCAGCAUGAGCUCACUGGCAAACAGCGCCGCGAAUGGCAGCAGUAAAAGCACUGGCAUGUGAUGCAGACGAUAGGACGAAGGGGUACAUGGCGCUUUCAGUGAUUUUGCACUGCUGUUUUUGAGGCCUAAUGAACUGGAAAAUGCAUUUUCAUGCAUCUGCCCUUAAGAAAUGUCGCUUGUAUGAGGCAGGUCACAUUCAUGACAUCAUGUGGUAUAUAAAGCAUAAAACAAAUGCAAAUUGCUAUGCAAAUGCACCCCGCAAACAAAGCUCACUG